UACAGGCACGUUGAUGGUAAAAUCACCAAGU
rnacentral:piRNA from 2 species